CUUCGUGCGUGCGUACAACCUAGUUUUGACUCAGUGUAUGGUAGUCAUUAGCCUUAAAGUGGAAAGUCUAGAGAAAGGAGUUGUGAGGCUGCGCGUUGCACUAUGACGUAAAAGAAAAAAAGGAAAGGGGUGUGUGUGUGUGUGUGUGUGCGUGUGUGUGGCGGAGAGAGUGGGAUGAAUCCUCCCCUGGAAGGCUUGCUUAGUGAAUAAACUUGGAAUGGCGAACCUUGCGUGGGGAACAGCGAAAGCCGACGAAAGGAAGCAGGAAAUACGCGUCGCUUGGAGAAUGGGAGUAGCCAUUGGACUAUGACUCUGGAAAGGGUGUUUCACUGGGACCUGGUGCUCACUAAUCAGGCGAGGCCAGCUGGCCAUCGGUCCGCAGAUAUCCACCUGUCUCUGCCUCCUCAGUACUGGGAUUGUAAGCCAGCACCAUAUGCUCUGCUUUCUACAUGGCUUCUGGGGAUUGGACUCUUGAUAGUGUGGACUCACUUUAAGGUCUAAACUGAGGCCCAGGGAUGAAAAGAAAUGUGUCUAAGGAUCUACAAACACAAAGUGGCCUCCUGGAGGAGGACAUCAGCCUACCCAUAAAACCGUUGGUGCAAAGGCAUCUUUGGGAUAAAGACGGAGCAGACACCGAGGGAAUGGCAAACCAGUGACUGGCCCAACUUGAGACCCACCGCAUGGGAGAGAGCCAACACUGACACUAUUACUGAUACUCUGCUAUGCUCAAAGACAGGAGCUUCGAAUAACUGUCUUCUGAGAGGCUUUGUCCAACAUCUGAUGGAAACAGAUGCAGAGACCCACAGCAGAGCUUGGGGAGUUUUGUGGAAUUGUGGAAGAAAGGAUUGCAUGAGCCAGAGAGUUCAAAGAUACUGCAAGAAAACCUACAGAGUCAACUAACCUGGGCCCAUGGGGGUCCACAGAGAUUAAGCCAACAACCAAAGAGCAUGCAUGAUCUGGACCUAGACCGUCUACAAAUAUGGAGCAUAUAUGAAGCUUGGCAAUCAUAUGGGUGCCCUAACAAUGGGAGUAAGGCUGUCUCUGACUCUGUUGCCUGCUUUUGAAUCCCUUUCCCGCACCUGGGCUGCCUUGUCAGGCCACAGUGAGAGAGGAUGCACUUAGUCCUGCUGCAACCUGAGGUGCUAGGGUGAGUUGUUACUCCUUGGGAGCCUCCAGUUGUCUGAGCAGAAGGAGAGGGGGUAGGGGAAGCUAGGGUGGGACUGGGUGUCAAUGAGGGAGAGAGCUGGGAUCAGGCUGUAAAGUGAUUAGAUGCCUAAAUAAAUGGGGGGAAAGUGGCCUCCUGAAGGUGAGGUUUCUAAUCCCAUGGGCUGUCUUUCAGCAGAUGUUAAAUUAUUUGUAAUGAACACAGUUGCUUACCAGAUAAUCUAGUAGGUAGGAUUGCUCUUAGAGUUAUUCCAGGAGCAACUGUAUGUAAUGGUGAUUGACUUGCUGAAUGGAUGAGUCAAGGAAUACCCAAGUAAAUGAAUGAAAGAAAAAGAUGAUCACUGAGAUUACAUACUCAGGAAGUAUGUAAGUAUGAGGGUGGGUUCUCAGUCCCUUGGUCCAUCUCCUCACAGCUGGGUUUAUCAGCCUUGGCUUACAUUCAUGACUGGGUUAUUCUUCACAGUGGGGCUCGCUAUAGGAUGAGGAACAGCAUCUUGCCUCCACCCACCAGGUGCCAGUAGCUUCUCUUACAACCAGCGGGACAAG